CCUGACGAGUGGCGAACGGGUGAGUAAUGCAUCGGAACGUACCCAGUCGUGGGGGAGUAACGUAGCGAAAGUUACGCUAAUACCGCAUACGUCCUGAGGGAGAAAGCGGGGGACCGUAAGGCCUCGCGCGAUUGGAGCGGCCGAUGUCGGAUUAGCUAGUUGGUAGGGUAAAGGCCUACCAAGGCGACGAUCCGUAGCGGGCCUGAGAGGAUGAUCCGCCACACUGGGACUGAGACACGGCCCAG
rnacentral:rRNA from 1 species